CGAGAACAACCAGAUAUUUGAAGAUCGGAGCAUAAUUCACGAGGAUCACCGAACAAGAUGGAGAAUCAAGGCUUCGCGGGAGAGCAAUAUCUCAAUAACGGAAGCAGUACUUUCAUUCACAAAAAUUCCUCAAUACAUUUUGACGCUCACAUUUACGAGAUGUCCUAGUAAUCAUCUCGUAAAUGUGAACGUACAAGUUCCAAGAAAUUCUGUAGAAUUUCUUCCGACUUCCUUGAAGAAUCAGCUCAUUUGAGGGUCGAACAAAACGGUCAUUAAUUUAUAACUUUGAAUAUCAAGAACAACGGGUCCGAAGGAAUCUUCUCAACCAAUUUAUUUCAAAAGAAAUUUAACUUUUUAAUUUCCUUUUUCGCCAAGGAUUUUUAUCGUCAAUUCCGUCUACUUCGGCGAAUUACUUCAUGUGGGAAAAAAUAGAUAGCAAAGAAACGAAGGAUCGUACAUUGGAAACAAAUCUUUCUGAUGAUGUACUUUUGAAGGAGAAUAAUGGGAAUAAAACUUGUACGUUAUCGAGAUUGCGAAAAGAGGAUGAUGUCAGCACAAGCAAAAAACGCAGAAUGUAAGGAUUGUAGAAACAAAAGUAACUCUAUGAACUUUG